GAUCGCGGCGACGCUGGCGGUCCGCCGCCGGCGACGUCGCGAGAAGUCCACUGAACCUUAUCAUUUAGAGGAAGGAGAAGUCGUAACAAGGUUUCCGUAGGUGAACCUGCGGAAGGAUCAUUGCCGCC
rnacentral:rRNA from 1 species